rnacentral:rRNA from 1 species
GUGAUCCUACGGGGGGCAGCAGUGGGGAAUAUUGCACAAUGGGGGAAACCCUGAUGCAGCGACGCCGCGUGAAGGAAGAAGUAUUUCGGUGUGUAAACUUCUAUCAGCAGGGAAGAAAAUGACGGUACCUGACUAAGAAGCCCCGGCUAACUACGUGCCAGCAGCCGCGGUAAUACGUAGGGGGCGAGCGUUAUCCGGAUUUACUGGGUGUAAAGGGAGCGUAGGCGGUUUAGCAAGUCAGAAGUGAAAGCCCGGGGCUUAACUCCGGGACUGCUUUUGAACCUGUUGCA